rnacentral:rRNA from 1 species
AGUAACGGCGAGUGAAGCGGUAACAGCUCAAAUUUGAAAUCUGGCCUCACGGUCCGAGUUGUAAUUUGUAGAGGAUGCUUCGAGCAUGGUCUGGCCUAAGUUCCUUGGAACAGGACGUCAUAGAGGGUGAGAAUCCCGUAUGCGGUCAGGUGCCUACGCUCAUGUGAAGCUCCUUCGACGAGUCGAGUUGUUUGGGAAUGCAGCUCAAAAUGGGUGGUAAAUUUCAUCUAAAGCUAAAUAUUGGCCAGAGACCGAUAGCGCACAAGUAGAGUGAUCGAAAGAUGAAAAGCACUUUGGAAAGAGAGUUAAACAGUACGUGAAAUUGUUGAAAGGGAAGCGCUUGCAACCAGACUUGCGCGCGGCCGAUCAUCUGGUGUUCUCACCGGUGCACUCGGCCGUGCUCAGGCCAGCAUCGGUUUUGGCGGCUGGAUAAAGGCCCCAGGAAUGUGGCUCCUCUCGGGGAGUGUUAUAGCCUGGGGUGCAAUGCAGCCUGCUGGGACCGAGGACCGCGCUUCGGCUAGGAUGCUGGCGUAAUGGUUGUAAGCGGCCCGUCUUGAAACACGGACCAAGGAGUCUAACAUCUAUGCGAGUGUUUGGGUGUCAAACCCAUACGCGUAAUGAAAGUGAACGGAGGUGAGAACCCUUAAGGGUGCAUCAUCGACCGAUCCUGAUGUCUUCGGAAGGAUUUGAGUAAGAGCAUAGCUGUUGGGACCCGAAAGAUGGUGAACUAUGCCU